CAUGUGAGUCAAAAAGAAUAAGCGACGUUUAUCUUGCAACAAAAGAGAUAUUUUGCCAACAACUGUAUGCAUAAUUUAGAUUGUAUUUAAUAUUGUGUAAUAAAUUGGUCAAUAUUAAAGGAACGCCGCCAACCGUGACACUUAUUUUCAACAAAAUAUAAAGUUGACCCCCUAUCACCAUGUCGGAAGAUGGUUUCAGCUUCGAACUUUGGAACCUGUCAACACGAACCAUUUUCAAACGAGCCAUAGUAAGGAAGAUACUCUCAUUUUGCAGAAGAACUUCUUUACUUCAACUUUUAGCGAUAACGUCAAAGAAUCUUGACGUUAUUUUCCUCAAGAUAUCUUACUUAUUAACGUCCAAAGGGUUUUGAGGCUCUGCUGUCGUGAUUCUUCGUCAGAAGUUCCGAGCAAGGAGAAAUGCCAAGGCGUAGAAGUAAAACUAACAAAUCGAUCCAGAGAUUGACUUCAUGGAAGCUGGAGCAGGAAAGGAAGGCUGAUGAGCAGGGCAUAGAGGUAGCAGAACAAGAGCCAGCUGUAGAGCAGGGAGUAGAAGGAGCAGGACAGGAGCUGGCUGAUGAGCAGGAGUGUGAGGUAACAGGGGAGUGGCAGGGUGAAGAGUUCAUGUUCAACCCAUUCACAGCAAAUGAUCAAUUGCUGCUGGCAGUUUAUUGGAACCAGAUCAAACCAUGGAGAAGUUCCUGUCUGGUGAGUGUCAUCCUGAGGGCCCUCCAGCAAAUCUUGGUACGUGGGCCACGCAGGUUGAAAUAGAGGCAAUGUCCUUACUACUGGGAAGAUGCAUCUUUGUGUACGGUAAGCAUGGCAACGAUUGGGCAUGGAUGAAGUACCCAUUAAGGGAAAGUACUUGUGAUAGAAUGUUAGACGGUAGUAAUGCAUUGUACAUACAAAAUACAAACCUUGACCACUUUGAUGUAGUAACAACAGUUUUGAGACGUAGACAGACAAGGAGUAUGUCCCGGUGCCACAGAGAAGAAGCUACAGAGGUCUCACAAGUUCCCAGUAGCAACAGCAAGCACACACUAAUCGACAACGAUGAUGAUGAGGACCGGAAAAGGGCCAGACGGGAUCGAGAAAGGAAGCGAUACCAUGAGGAUCCCCAGUAUGCCCGGGCCCAACGGGAUCAAAAGAGGACCAAGUAUCACACUGGCGAUGAGCAUGCACAGCAGAAGCGAGACCAUGAAAGAGAUAAAUAUCACUCAGAUCCAAAUCAUAGAGACUUAAAAAUAAGAAACGUGCAGAUUAACAGAGAAAAG